rnacentral:lncRNA from 1 species
GCUUUGCGAAAGACCCUUCUUUGCCCAGGGCCUCCUCACCAAGGCCUAACAGAUGGGGAUGUGGUUCUGCUAAUUUAUCGACUCCGCAGGGAAACUUCAGGGAGUGCGAAUGGCCAGAUGCCUCACAGAGAAGACACUGAUGUCCACUUGUGGGAGGGAACUUGUGUAGGUUGGUCAGGGGCCCCACCAUGCGAGACCUU